AUGAGGUAAGCAAAAGUAAAGGUUUCAGAAAGGAAGUACAACAGUUAAACACACCUCUCUGUAUGAGGAAAUGGUUUAAAGAGCAAAACCACAAUGGUGUCAAACCUUGACUUCUUUUGGGAGGAGCGUGAGAACAUGUCUUAUUCUAACAUGUAAAUAGCUCAUUUGUCACAUAUGGCUAUAUAUAGUCUACUUUAAAAACUGAUGUCACUCUUACUAGAUGUCAGAGCAAGCUCUUAGGUUAUGUUUAACAAAGACAAAACAUUUGUGUAAGUAAACCUGUUUUUAAUAGGUGUUUUAGGUUUUUACAUCACUGACAAAACUACUAUUAAAACAAAAUUACUAUAAAUUUACUAAGAACCUAUAAAUAGUGUGGUAUUCAUAUGCACAAAGACAAUGCAUUUGCAGUGAACAUUAGUAUGUUUGACACUAGAAAACACAAAACAUUAAAUUGGUCUACAAAAUUAACAUCUAGUCCAGCAGAUAUUUUGGAUUCUUGCAGUUAGGCCAUCUGAACAGCUGAUGUGACAGCCCCAUCUAGAGGAAAACAGGUGCAACUAUUUCCAUGGCAACUAGAUCCAGCAGUAGCCCUUGGCAACGGUUUCUGCAACUGAUCACUUCCUCAGGGAGCAUCCUACUUAUUUAAACAAGAGAUGUUGACAUGGAAAUAACAUAAUAUGGUUCAAAUUACGCUUAUAAGUGUAAUAGAAAAUUGCACUGGAUUUUUUUUUUAUUCUAAAAACGAUUCUGGAUCACUGUAUAGAUCAUAAGAAAUAACUCAAAUAUGUGAAAGUUUGAUUUCUAAAUUGCUUCAGAAUUGUUUUUACAAAAGCUCUUUAUACAUUCCUUUAAAGUAGAGUGUGGUACUGCAGAUUGUGUAAUAAAAAUGCAAGCAGAGGUUUGUGAGUGAGUUCUCUUGACUGACCGAGCAUGGAAAGCCUGCUAAAAUGGUCUACUCCUCCCUCUCAUUUAGUCAACAUUUGCGUCAUUAGUAUAGUCAAAUGCCUGACUCCGUAGAUGCUAAAUGAAAGCUUUUACUGCCAACAUACAGUCAGGCUUUAGAGCUGUGAAUUUCACAUUUACAAUGACAAGCAAUUUAUUAUACAAAUUUCAUCUUACACUUUUAACAUUCUGAUGUCCUUAAGAAGAGUUAAACUCUUUAUAUACAUAAUGAAAAAUAAUUAUUUAUAGUUAAGUGUUUCAUAAGGGAAUAUGGGAACAUAAAAACAUUGUAUUCAGGGAUUUUUCUCAACCAAUGUAUAAUAAUACAAAAGGGGGGAAAUAUGCACAUCCAAAACAGACAACAUGAAAUUAAACGAGGAAAAACUGCACACUGUUCAACUAUUCCCUUUAUUUUCAAAUAAAACAGCAACAAUUCAGUCAGAGAUCCUCAGAGAUUUAUGAAUGAAACAUUGCUGUUUUACUUUGAAAAUAAAGGAAAUAAUUGAACGUUGUGCCAAUUUUCCUUAUUAACAUUCAUAAAUACAGCAAAGCCUUGCGCUGAAAAUGAACAUCUGCUCGAACUAUACUCAAGAUGACCAACAUAAGUGCUCACGCACAAAAACUAAACUCACAGUCAUGAACACACACACACUUUCAAACAAAAGCUGCUAUCACACCACUCCUGACAUGCUCUCAUCUUCAGGUCCAACAACUACAGGCUGGCAGCAGUCGGUGCAAAUGUACCGCAGCACGCAGAGGUAAACACUGCCAGACAGUCCCACGGUCAGAGCCAGCAGGGUCAGACUCAGGUACGAUGGCCCAGGUUGGUAAGCAAAUUCACUGAGCAUGUCACUGUCCAUUACUGCAGGUAGUUCAGCG
ensembl:lncRNA